rnacentral:rRNA from 1 species
GACGAACGCUGGCGGCGUGCUUAACACAUGCAAGUCGAACGGAAAGGCCCUGCUUUUGUGGGGUGCUCGAGUGGCGAACGGGUGAGUAACACGUGAGUAACCUGCCCUUGACUUUGGGAUAACUUCAGGAAACUGGGGCUAAUACCGGAUAGGAGCUCCUGCUGCAUGGUGGGGGUUGGAAAUUUUCGGCGGUUGGGGUUGGACUCGCGGCUUAUCAGCUUGUUGGUGGGGUAGUGGCUUACCAAGGCUUUGACGGGUAGCCGGCCUGAGAGGGUGACCGGCCACAUUGGGACUGAGAUACGGCCCAGACUCCUACGGGAGGCAGCAGUGGGGAAUAUUGCACAAUGGGCGGAAGCCUGAUGCAGCAACGCCGCGUGCGGGAUGACGGCCUUCGGGUUGUAAACCGCUUUCGCCUGUGACGAAGCGUGAGUGACGGUAAUGGGUAAAGAAGCACCGGCUAACUACGUG